AUCUGGCCCGCGACAGCCAAUUUCUUAUUGUUGUUACUAUUGCUGUGAUAAAAAUAUAGUUAAGGGCAGAAAAAUUUAAACUGUUUUGACCCUUGGAACAUACUGA